UUGGAGGGCAAGUUGGUGCCAGCAGCCGCGGUAAUUCCAGCUCCAAUAGCGUAUAUUAAAGUUGUUGCAGUUAAAAAGCUCGUAGUUGAAUUUCGGGAUUAGUGCGCCGGUCGUGCCUUCGGUAUGUACUGGUGUUACUGGUUCCUACCUUCUGACGAACCGUCAUGUCAUUAAUUUGGUGUGGCGGGGAAUCAGGACUGUUACUUUGAAAAAAUUAGAGUGUUUAAAGCAGGCUCGCGCUUGAAUACAUUAGCAUGGAAUAAUGAAAUAGGACGUUCGAUCCUAUUUUGUUGGUUUCUAGGAUUGACGUAAUGAUUAAUAGGGAUAGUUGGGGGCAUUAGUAUUCAAUUGUCAGAGGUGAAAUUCUUGGAUUUAUUGAAGACUAACUACUGCGAAAGCAUUUGCCAAGGAUGUUUUCAUUAAUCAAGAACGAAAGUUAGGGGAUCGAAGACGAUCAGAUACCGUCGUAGUCUUAACCAUAAACUAUGCCGACUAGGGAUCGGAUGAUGUUAUUUUUAAUGACUCAUUCGGCGCCUUACGGGAAAC
rnacentral:rRNA from 1 species